UACGGAGGGUGCAAACGUUGCUCGGAAUCAUUGGGCGUAAAGCGCACGUAGGCGGAUUGUUAAGUCAGGGGUGAAAUCCUGGAGCUCAACUCCAGAACUGCCUUUGAUACUGGCGAUCUCGAGUCCGGGAGAGGUGAGUGGAACUGCGAGUGUAGAGGUGAAAUUCGUAGAUAUUCGCAAGAACACCAGUGGCGAAGGCGGCUCACUGGCCCGGUACUGACGCUGAGGUGCGAAAGCGUGGGGAGCAAACAGG
rnacentral:rRNA from 1 species